AGUGUAAGUAAAGUAAAAGCACCCUGAAUUCACAGUACAAAAUUCAAGCUGCAAUACAACAUAGUUAUGUGGUUAAAAGAGCCACAAGGUAGCAACGGCACAACUUUAUUUCUCAACUAAGUCCACCAUGCAAGCGCCUCAUAAGCUCUGCCAUAAAUAGGAUGUUGACAUUACCCAACACAAGCCCAAGAUUUAAUGUCAACUCAAGCAUGGGGAGCAGCCGCAUUAUCACAUUUUAUAAUUGUUAUGUCGUGCAUCAAUGAAAAAAUCAAAUGAAGUUUGUGGAUUUUUCUCUUUAGUGCAGAUUUGUGCAUGGGAAAGAAUUAUUCCCCUACAACCAUUGACAAAGCCUCUAAGGACCAAUCAACUUGAGGCUUCAACUGCGCUUGCACGUAAAUGGACUCAACGUAGAAAUCAUCAAAAUGAGGCACGAACUGUAAUU